CUUGAACCUUUUUUUUGUGGGAAGCUACUCCUUGACCUGAUAUGAUUUCAGAUUAAAGCAAGAUGAGUUAGGAGCCUAAGACCUGACAGACACCUUCUUUCUACCACUCGACUAAGAAUUCGGCAUUUCUCUAUAAAUAAUCAAAAGAUAUACAUUAAUCAACAUCAAUUGAACAUAAACAUCAACUGUGCUCAAUUCGGAAGAUGUAUGAAAAUAACUAAAUUUACCUUGGCAAAGUACCAUACAUCAGAUGGAGACUUGAUCAGAGCAGGCCGUGGUUCCAAGCUUUCGGCUGUGGCCGGCGAGAGCAACGGUAUGGGGGCAGGAACUUGAGGGACAUGCAGAAACCUUGCGCACCCUCACCAAAGUCGCGCACUUGCUGCGUAUUGGAAACAACGUCGCUGCUGAUGUUGUCCACAGUGAC
rnacentral:lncRNA from 1 species